rnacentral:rRNA from 1 species
UACGUAGGGCGCAAGCGUUGUCCGGAAUUAUUGGGCGUAAAGAGCUCGUAGGCGGUUUGUCGCGUCUGCUGUGAAAACUCGGGGCUUAACUGUGGGCGUGCGGUCGAUACGGGCAUCACUGGAGUUCGGCAGGGGAGACUGGAAUUCCUGGUGUAGCGGUGAAAUGCGCAGAUAUCAGGAGGAACACCAAUAGCGAAGGCAGCUCGCUGGGACGUUACUGACACUGAGGCGCGAAAGCGUGGGGAGCAAACAGG